rnacentral:sRNA from 1 species
UGCUUUAAUCCUAGCCACCACGUACCUGC